UACAGAGGGUGCUAGCGUUGUUCGGAAUCAUUGGGCGUAAAGGGCGUGUAGGCGGUUUGUUAAGUCAUGUGUGAAAUCCCUCGGCUCAACCGGGGAACGACGCAUGAAACUGGCAAGCUAGAGUACCAAAGAGGGGGGUGGAAUUCCCGGUGUAGCGGUGAAAUGCGUAGAUACCGGGAGGAACACCUGUGGCGAAGGCGGCCCCCUGGUUGGAUACUGACGCUGAUACGCGAAAGCGUGGGGAGCAAACAGG
rnacentral:rRNA from 1 species